AGAGUUUGAUCAUGGCUCAGAACGAACGCUGGCGGCAGGCUUAACACAUGCAAGUCGAGCGCUGUAGCAAUACAGAGCGGCGCACGGGUGAGUAACACGUGGGAACGUGCCCUAUGGUUCGGAAUAACUCAGGGAAACUUGAGCUAAUACCGGAUAAGCCCUUACGGGGAAAGAUUUAUCGCCAUUGGAGCGGCCCGCGUCCGAUUAGCUAGUUGGUGAGGUAAAAGCUCACCAAGGCGACGAUCGGUAGCUGGUCUGAGAGGACGACCAGCCACACUGGGACUGAGACACGGCCCAGACUCCUACGGGAGGCAGCAGUGGGGAAUCUUGGACAAUGGGGGAACCCUGAUCCAGCCAUGCCGCGUGAGUGAUGAAGGCCCUAGGGUUGUAAAACUCUUUCGGCGGGGACGAUAAUGACGGUACCCGCAGAAGAAGCUCCGGCUAACUUCGUGCCAGCAGCCGCGGUAAUACGAAGGGGGCUAGCGUUGUUCGGAAUUACUGGGCGUAAAGCGCGCGCAGGCGGUCCUUCAAGUCAGAGGUGAAAGCCCAGAGCUCAACUCUGGAACGGCCUUUGAGACUAGAGGACUUGGGUACGGGAGAGGUGAGUGGAAUUCCGAGUGUAGAGGUGAAAUUCGUAGAUAUUCGGAAGAACACCAGUGGCGAAGGCGGCUCACUGGCCCGUUACCGACGCUCAGGCGCGACAGCGUGGGGAGCAAACAGGAUUAGAUACCCUAGUAGUCC
rnacentral:rRNA from 1 species